UGUUUGCUUAACAGUAAUGCUUGGGAGGUUGUGUUGAAAUAUUCUGAAGAGCUGCUGCCUGAGUAUCCACCCACAUAAAUCAUCUUUAAAAGAUUGUAGAAACACAGCUUAGAGCUACAUCGACUUUACAGGGGGUCCCUCAGCAGCCAAGCUUGUGUUUACUGUGCUACGUUUAACAUUUCUCUUGUGCCUCUCUGUGAGACGUGCUGCAGUCGACCGGAGCAAAUGUCAAGUGAGUGUCGCUCCCUCGGGCAGCUUGUUUCUGCAGACUGCUGCUGGACAGAACCGUUGACAAACGCAGUCGGGCCAAUUAUAAGCUCGUUGGGCCUUGCCUGCCAAUGUUCCUCUGCGACCCGAUGACCGCUGGCAUCGUGGAGGCUGUUGCUGUUGGGGCACUUGCUCUUCUCUGGUGAGGCGAAGGGGUUGUAGUCUCCUUCCACGAUGCGAUGAGGCUGAGUGUUGAACUCCGCUUGGAAAGAGGACAGCUGCUGUGUGACACCAAGGAGGCCUCCGACCUCCACGCUCAGGAUCACCCAAAUGACGUCUGUCAUAAGAAACAAACGGCGUGUUAUGGUAUACACAGCCUCUAACACUGUUCCACACGCCAACCUGUGUCCCAAAAGUGUAGAGUUUAAAGUAAAAAUCAGCAUUAUCUAGUCAAAGAUUAUAUUAACUAUCAUUUUGAGCUACAAUCCUGUGUUGUAUAAUGAGAAAUAAAAUUGAUGUCAAGACUGAAAA